rnacentral:rRNA from 1 species
CUCUCGCGUACUCGCCUUCUUCGGCUCACGGCGCCCAGGAAUGAAGGAGGGUAGUUCGGGGGAGAACGUAUUGGUGCGUCAGAGGUGAAAUUCUUGGACCGCACCAGGACGAACUACAGCGAAGGCAUUCUUCAAGAAUACCUUCCUCAAUCAAGAACCAAAGUGUGGGGAUCAAAGAUGAUUAGAGACCAUUGUAGUCCACACUGCAAACGAUGACACCCA